UGACGAAGUAUGGACGCUGUUCCACCGGAGACGCGGUGCAAGGUUAUGGCCAAACCAUUACUCAGCCAGCUUGCGUCGAACAGAGAAAGAGAAUGCACGCGAGAGCUAAAAAGGAGGAAAGACGAGGGUCCUGGCGGUCGGAUCGCUGAAUGAAAUGAGUUUCGGCCGCAUUAAGGUCGUGCAAGUACCAAUCCCGUUCUUCCAGUUCCAGGCCAGGUCCGGUCGCGAGUGUCUGCGUGUACGCACACCGAACAGGCCGAACAAAAUCGGUCCUGGCUGGUUAUAAAUUGCCAACGGCGCACGGCCAUUCAGCAAAACGUUCAAGGUCCACGGAGUCCUCGGUCAGAG
rnacentral:misc_RNA from 1 species